UCUAAUUGAUUUGGGUAGAAAACCACUUGGUGUUAAAUUGAAACCAUAGUGCCAGAUAACAUUUUUCUAGACAGUGAACGUGAUUUUCUGUCCUUUUGGUCGUCGUACUGCCGGUUUCCAUGUUGUGGUUUUCUUACCCCAGAAGGGCUGAAUUACCACCCUGUCAUCGUCCAGCAAUUCGACCACUUGCCCAAUCUGAGGCCAGUCUUCUGGCGACAUAGGCGUGUCUGAACAAUACACACCUCCGGGAUUGGUUCAUCAAGUUCCGGAAUGUUGAUUAUGUUCUCUGUUGUUGUGGUCAACUCCAAUGCCUCUUCAAGUUAUAACUUCUUCAGUUUGCCAAUCAAAUCAACUGAAUCCAAGUCUCUGUCCUCUGAAUGUUAUGGAAUAUACCAAGUUUGUCUUCCACUUGAUGCUGUUACAUGAAGUUGAAAGGAGAAAAAUAAUGAUAAUAGACUAACAACACAGAACGGGUUACCUUCUUCUUCCAUUUCGUUAAAGAAAGAGUCCCACCAGGAAAUUAAGUCUCCUUUCUCAUAGAACCUGCAAUUAAAAAUGUAUGAUAUAUUUGAGGGACCUAUUAAUUUUGGCUGCAAUAAGCCUUCAGUGUGUUAUUCUGAUUUC